rnacentral:lncRNA from 1 species
CUUUACCUAUGCUGUAUUUUAGUUUUAUAUAUUUUUCUUAAAUAUAUCCCAAUUAUAUUUUAAUCUCUUCAGGUUGAAUAAGGAAGCUUUGAAGACCACUUGUAUAGUCCGAGAUAAGAAUGUAUUGACUACUAGAUCUCACACAAAAUGUAAAAUGAAUUGAUAUUCACCUGUAAUAAGAUUUCUAAUAAAAUUCCCCAGUGACAGACACAUUGUUCAAGACUUUUCAUAGGUGAAGAUCAAUUCAUUUUAUUUUGUGUGAGAUCUAGUAGUCUUGGCUCCUCUCGCUAAAUAAGACUGCUCCCUUUCUUGAUCCUUCCCUGAAAAGUUCAUUGGCAACACUGUUGGGUUUACAUCCACAUCCAAUCAAGAUUUCUGGAUUCUUCUAUUCCCAUGACUUCUGCUCUUGGCCACAACUGUAAGACCUGGUUAUCAGAAAUCUACCUAUAACAGGUGAGGGGAGAAUUUUGGAAAUUUAGUCUUCAAACUUCCUGCCUCUCAGGGCUCCUUGUUAUAUUUAUUUACCUAAUUAAGUAAUUAUUCUAAGACAAGGAAGACUUCAGGUGCUAGAGUCAGAAAAUAUAUUGUCCUUUAUUUUCAAUAAAAGUCAUGUAAUUUUCA